rnacentral:rRNA from 1 species
AUGGCAAGGCUCCUCCUCCUCGCCGCCGACCACGCCGCCGGAGCGCCGGGGGCGGCGAGUCUCGUCCUCGUCCUCGUCGUGGUGCUCGUCGUCGCGGCGGUCGUCGUGUCGCUCUGCACCACCAGCACGCACGCGAAGCUGUGGGGGCGGCAGCGCGGGUCCUCCUCGUCCGCGCCGUUGCCGAAAUCGGACAGCAGCGUCGGCGCGAGCAACCGGAGGCGCCUGCUGUCGGCCACGCUGAGCGGGAUCGGCGGCAAGGCGGCCAGGAUGGUGUCGUGGAACAGGCGCUCUCCGGCGCCGGGCGGCAGCAGCGACGACGAGGAGGCGGUGGCCGAUCUGGGGCUGGACGACGACGACGAGGCCGUGUGGCGGAAGGCCAUCAUCAUGGGGGACAAGUGCCGGCCGCUCCAGUUCUCCGGGCACAUCGCCUUCGACUCCGACGGCAACCAGCUGCCCCCGCCGCCGCCGGCGGCAAUCAAGAAAGCCGGCCCCGACGUCCACGCCGAGAAUUAA